GAGUUUGAUCCUGGCUCAGGACGAACGCUGGCGGCGUGCUUAACACAUGCAAGUCGUACGCUGAAGCCCGCGCUUGCGUGGGUGGAUGAGUGGCGAACGGGUGAGUAACACGUGGGUAAUCUGCCUUGUACUCUGGGAUAAGCCUGGGAAACUGGGUCUAAUACCGGAUAGGACCAUUCCUCGCAUGGGGGGUGGUGGAAAGCUCCGGCGGUAUGAGUUGAGCCCGCGGCCUAUCAGCUUGUUGGUGGGGUGAUGGCCUACCAAGGCGGUGACGGGUAGCCGGCCUGAGAGGGCGACCGGCCACACUGGGACUGAGACACGGCCCAGACUCCUACGGGAGGCAGCAGUGGGGAAUAUUGCACAAUGGGCGCAAGCCUGAUGCAGCGACGCCGCGUGAGGGAUGACGGCCUUCGGGUUGUAAACCUCUUUCGCCAGGGACGAAGGGUGAUACUGACGGUACCUGGAGAAGAAGCACCGGCUAACUACGUG
rnacentral:rRNA from 1 species